rnacentral:tRNA from 1 species
UGGUAGAGCAGAGGACUGAAAAUCCUCGUGUCACCGGUUCAAAUA